rnacentral:lncRNA from 1 species
AUGUGCUAUGAAAGCAGGAAGAGAAUGUUAUCUCUGUCUCCUUCUAACAGGAAGGCAAAGGCUUUAUCAGAACUCCCAGGCAAACAUCUCCUUGUGUUUUAUUGGCUGGAAAAGAGAAUAGUUAACUGGACAAGUGUUAAGUGUGGAAAAAGAGGGAAGUGGAUAUUGGAUAAGCAACUGACCAUAAUGCUUCCCUUGGUUUGGCCUCACACUAUCCUGGUUGCUGAUGGGAGGUAAGAAAAGGUUUUAAUUGGCCUAUGUGAUCUGUCCUUCUCUCUUGGUAGGGAGUGGGUGAAUGAGUGAAGAUUUGACAGGCCAUUUCAGGGAGCUUCCAAAUCUGAGCUUAGCUAGCAAAGGAAAUCACUAAUAAUAUUUUGCUCUUAACUUAGACUUCAAAAAUCAUAAUGUUGUUUAGAUUCAGGUAGAUAGCAAUUCUGAGUUGAACUAGAUGCUUUGCUGUCUGGAAAAGGAGUAAGUAAGUAACUAUUUGCAGUGGUUCCUAGGUGUCGCUAUGGCUGUGUGCCCCUGUACUCUAGAAAUAGCUGGGCCUUCCUGAUGUCCAGACUGGCAUCUCUUGCCAAGUCGGAAAGAGAUCUGAAAACUCCCAUUCCAUUCCCUUUGCGGAAGACACCACAGCAUUUCUUCUUCCGACCCUAAUGGGAAGCACAUGGAGAUCGCUGAACAUUGGGAACACUUCUUUGCUCAAAUUAUGUUUUUUGAGCAAGGGCUAUGAUAAAGUAACCUCUAAACAUGACCCUGGCAGAAGUCAGUAGCCUUGCUUAUUCUGGCCACGUUCCUGGUGCAAUCCAGGGUUCUGGGAAGAUUUACUUUAAUUACAACUUCUUUUGCCCUUUUUCUCUCCCUCUUAUCCUCAUGAUCUCUUACAUAACAUGUGUUAGAGGUACCAAAAUUGAAAAUUUCAUUCUCGAGCUAAAUUAGAUAAACGUAAUUUGCACUUGGCUUCUUUUCUUUCAAGAGAUCUGGCCAAAUUAGCAUGUCAUACUGUUUUUCUAAGACACACAUAACUUAAAUUCUCUUUCUUUCUUUAGUUUUUAUAUCUCAGUAAAAAUUUCAUUUUUUGUUUUCAGUGGCAAGGAUAAUAAAGAGGCAUUGUGUCUUCUAAAUUUUCUUUAGCCAUACAAGGUUUUAUGAAGGGUAAUUUUUAUAGACUUUUUUCUUAGUCUACUAAAAUUCUCAUGAGAAUUAGUUCAUUUCCAAAAAGUUUUGCACAGAGCUUAUAUGUAAAAGUUAAAAUUCAUAUAAAUUAAAACAUAAACACUGCAUUCUUCAUGAAUCAUGAAAAUCACACAUUAAAAGCCCAGAUCAAAAUCUCCUUUCAAUUGUACUGUAUUAUUUAGCACAAAAUGUGUAACCUGUAAUUUUUGCCUUCGGUUCAAUGGGACCUCAAUGUACCAAACAUUAAUUGAGCACCUUAUGUGUGUUCAAAGGCACUUUGUUCUGAUUAGGAGAUGAAUCUUACACCGCAA